AGUUGGCGCUCAUGGCUCCACAGGCUUCUACACGCGGAGCUGCCGGUUGGAGCGUCUGCCCAGUCACCACAGAGAAGAUUUAACAAGUAAAAACCUGCAAACUCUUUAUUAAAUUCUCCCAUUUCAUCUGUACAGGAAAAAAAAAAAUGCACAUUAUGUUCAGAAUCUCAGUAACAUCUCAAAAUUACACAGCAAGAACAUGUAAAAACAAGGAACUGCGGGGAUUUUAUACAUAGAAAGGAAAGCCAUUUACAAAAGAGGCUUGUUCAUUUUCCUUUCCUUUCUUUCUUUCUUUCUUAAAAAAAAGUUAAAGGCCUACGAUCUCAUCCAGCAUGUGCUGCAGUCUGUUUUCCUGCUCGGGCUGACCUGGGAGCGCUGUUGGGAGGAGCCACUCCGUCCAGGGCACUGCAGUCUGGCCUCAGCCCCCAGCUUGUCUGCCAUAGGGCCUGCGGGGCCCUGGGUCCAGGUGUCAAUUCUACGUUGGGGGGAAGGCAGAAACAGAAUACACAGGCACUAUCUGAAUGUUCUCCUUGCCCAGGCAGAGUUCUCUACUGCACAUACCCCAACAUCCCUACCUGUGCGACGCGAUGGAAAGGAGGGGAGAAACCACCGUCAGGAUCCUGCCACCACCAGCCCCAGCAGACCUCCCACCUUUGUGCUCCAGAUACAAACAGUCCCUCACUAGAUGGCUUGGGGCAGUGGUCAACAGAGCCAAAUAUCAACAGUAUAACGAUUGAAAUUUCUUUUGAGAGCCAAAUUUUUUAAACUUAAAACUUCUUCUAACACCACUUCUUCAAAAUAGACUCGCCCAGGCCGUGGUAUUUUGUGGAAGAGCCACACCCAAGGGGCCAAAGAGCCGCAUGUGGCUCUUUAGCUGGUUUGCUGACCACUGGCUUGGGGGAACCGGUCACCAAAGAGUCAUGACUUAUCUGCUGACUUGGUUGCCCUGAUAUGUCAUUCCUGGCUGCUUAGUGGAGAGGACAAGAGCAGUGCAGUUAGCGGAGCAGCCAACCAGACAGACAAACGUCUGCUCUGGCCAGAGCCCCAGACCGGGCGGGGGGAGGGGUGUCCUGGAAGGCGAGGGCAUCGGAGUGUGCGUUCUACAGAACUGCUCUGGGGCUGCACACAGGGUGAGAGAUAUAAAAGGGAUCCUUGAGGUUUUCCCAAUUUACAAGAACCUGAAAUACAAAUGAACAUCCCUCUAAAAAAAACACCUUUCUAAAG